GAGAAAGAAAAUUCGAUUCCCUUAGUAGCGGCGAGCGAAACGGGAAGAGCCCAAACCAACAAGCUUGCUUGUUGGGGUUGUAGGACACUCUAUACGGAGUUACAAAGGACGACAUUAGACGAAUCAUCUGGAAAGAUGAAUCAAAGAAGGUAAUAAUCCUGUAGUCGAAAAUGUUGUCUCUCUUGAGUGGAUCCUGAGUACGACGGAGCACGUGAAAUUCCGUCGGAAUCUGGGAGGACCAUCUCCUAAGGCUAAAUACUCUCUAGUGACCGAUAGUGAACCAGUACCGUGAGGGAAAGGUGAAAAGCACCCCGGAAGGGGAGUGAAAUAGAACCUGAAACCGUGUGCUUACAAGUAGUCAGAGCCCGUUAAUGGGUGAUGGCGUGCCUUUUGUAGAAUGAACCGGCGAGUUACGAUUUGAUGCAAGGUUAAGCAGUAAAUGUGGAGCCGUAGCGAAAGCGAGUCUGAAUAGGGCGUUUAGUAUUUGGUCGUAGACCCGAAACCAGGUGAUCUACCCUUGGUCAGGUUGAAGUUCAGGUAACACUGAAUGGAGGACCGAACCGACUUACGUUGAAAAGUGAGCGGAUGAACUGAGGGUAGCGGAGAAAUUCCAAUCGAACCUGGAGAUAGCUGGUUCUCUCCGAAAUAGCUUUAGGGCUAGCCUCAAGUGAUGAUUAUUGGAGGUAGAGCACUGUUUGGACGAGGGGCCCCUCUCGGGUUACCGAAUUCAGACAAACUCCGAAUGCCAAUUAAUUUAACUUGGGAGUCAGAACAUGGGUGAUAAGGUCCGUGUUCGAAAGGGAAACAGCCCAGACCACCAGCUAAGGUCCCAAAAUAUAUGUUAAGUGGAAAAGGAUGUGGCGUUGCCCAGACAACUAGGAUGUUGGCUUAGAAGCAGCCAUCAUUUAAAGAGUGCGUAAUAGCUCACUAGUCGAGUGACACUGCGCCGAAAAUGUACCGGGGCUAAACAUAUUACCGAAGCUGUGGAUUGUCCUUUGGACAAUGGUAGGAGAGCGUUCUAAGGGCGUUGAAGCAUGAUCGUAAGGACAUGUGGAGCGCUUAGAAGUGAGAAUGCCGGUGUGAGUAGCGAAAGACGGGUGAGAAUCCCGUCCACCGAUUGACUAAGGUUUCCAGAGGAAGGCUCGUCCGCUCUGGGUUAGUCGGGUCCUAAGCUGAGGCCGACAGGCGUAGGCGAUGGAUAACAGGUUGAUAUUCCUGUACCACCUAUAAUCGUUUUAAUCGAUGGGGGGACGCAGUAGGAUAGGCGAAGCGUGCGAUUGGAUUGCACGUCUAAGCAGUAAGGCUGAGUAUUAGGCAAAUCCGGUACUCGUUAAGGCUGAGCUGUGAUGGGGAGAAGACAUUGUGUCUUCGAGUCGUUGAUUUCACACUGCCGAGAAAAGCCUCUAGAUAGAAAAUAGGUGCCCGUACCGCAAACCGACACAGGUAGUCAAGAUGAGAAUUCUAAGGUGAGCGAGCGAACUCUCGUUAAGGAACUCGGCAAAAUGACCCCGUAACUUCGGGAGAAGGGGUGCUCUUUAGGGUUAACGCCCAGAAGAGCCGCAGUGAAUAGGCCCAAGCGACUGUUUAUCAAAAACACAGGUCUCUGCUAAACCGUAAGGUGAUGUAUAGGGGCUGACGCCUGCCCGGUGCUGGAAGGUUAAGAGGAGUGGUUAGCUUCUGCGAAGCUACGAAUCGAAGCCCCAGUAAACGGCGGCCGUAACUAUAACGGUCCUAAGGUAGCGAAAUUCCUUGUCGGGUAAGUUCCGACCCGCACGAAAGGCGUAACGAUUUGGGCACUGUCUCAACGAGAGACUCGGUGAAAUCAUAGUACCUGUGAAGAUGCAGGUUACCCGCGACAGGACGGAAAGACCCCGUGGAGCUUUACUGUAGCCUGAUAUUGAAAUUCGGCACAGCUUGUACAGGAUAGGUAGGAGCCUUUGAAACGUGAGCGCUAGCUUACGUGGAGGCGCUGGUGGGAUACUACCCUAGCUGUGUUGGCUUUCUAACCCGCACCACUUAUCGUGGUGGGAGACAGUGUCAGGCGGGCAGUUUGACUGGGGCGGUCGCCUCCUAAAAGGUAACGGAGGCGCUCAAAGGUUCCCUCAGAAUGGUUGGAAAUCAUUCAUAGAGUGUAAAGGCAUAAGGGAGCUUGACUGCGAGACCUACAAGUCGAG
rnacentral:rRNA from 1 species